ACAUUAUGAGGGUGAACCAAUAUUAUUUUACUAUCUAGAUCCGUGUUUCGGUCAAUGUGAUCGCGACAGCCAGACCUGCGAGGAGACUAGUGGAGGAUUUCAAUGUCAAUGCCGCCCUGGGUAUUAUCUUUCAGGUGACACUUGCGUGGAAUCUUCGACUUUUCUUGCGACCAUGGAGAUAGAAACAGUCAACGGCACGUCAGUAGAAUUCUCUGAUGACCUUACGAACAGGGAGAGUGAGAGUUUUAUCAUGUUGGAAUCAGAGAUAUGUAACAUGGUUGAUGGCAUAUACGCUGAUACGUUGACCGAUUACUAUGGAUGCACCGUCAUCAAGUUCAGUUCUGGUAGUAUCAUCGCAGACAUCAAUCUCCUAUUCGAUCCCGAGACCAAUGUAACAGACCAAAUACUACUAGAGGAACUUGAGAAUGAGAUAGAAAGAACUGGUGGUAACCUGUCUGACGGGUCAUCAGUCUUCACUUUG